CCUACGGGAGGCAGCAGUGAGGAAUAUUGGUCAAUGGGCGAGAGCCUGAACCAGCCAAGUCGCGUGAGGGAGUACUGCCCUAUGGGUUGUAAACCUCUUUUGUCGGGGAGCAAAAGCCGGACGUGUCCGGCUGUGAGAGUACCCGAAGAAAAAGCAUCGGCUAACUCCGUGCCAGCAGCCGCGGUAAUACGGAGGAUGCGAGCGUUAUCCGGAUUUAUUGGGUUUAACGGGUGCGCAGGCGGAUUUUUAAGUCAGCGGGAAAAUCGUGGGGCUCAACCCCAUCCAGCCGUUGAAACUGGGGAUCUAGAGUGUGCGAGAGGUAUGCGGAAUGCGUGGUGUAGCGGUGAAAUGCAUAGAUAUCACGCAGAAUCCCGAUGGCGAAGGCAGCAUACCGGUGCACAACUGACGCUCAGGCACGAAAGCGUGGGUAUCGAACAGGAUUAGAUACCCGGGUAGUC
rnacentral:rRNA from 1 species